rnacentral:rRNA from 1 species
CCUACGGGUGGCAGCAGUGGGGAAUAUUGGACAAUGGGCGAAAGCCUGAUCCAGCCAUGCCGCGUGUGUGAAGAAGGCCUUCGGGUUGUAAAGCACUUUCAGUGGGGAAGAAAGCCUUGGGGCUAAUACCCUCGAGGAAGGACAUCACCCACAGAAGAAGCACCGGCUAACUCCGUGCCAGCAGCCGCGGUAAUACGGAGGGUGCGAGCGUUAAUCGGAAUUACUGGGCGUAACGCGCGCGUAGGCGGUCUGAUAAGCCGGUUGUGAAAGCCCCGGGCUCAACCUGGGAACGGCAUCCGGAACUGUCAGGCUAGAGUGCAGGAGAGGAAGGUAGAAUUCCCGGUGUAGCGGUGAAAUGCGUAGAGAUCGGGAGGAAUACCAGUGGCGAAGGCGGCCUUCUGGACUGACACUGACGCUGAGGUGCGAAAGCGUGGGUAGCAAACAGGAUUAGAUACCCUUGUAGUC